rnacentral:rRNA from 1 species
CAGCAGCCACGGUAAUACGAAGGGUGCAAGCGUUACUCGGAAUUACUGGGCGUAAAGCGUGCGUAGGUGGUGGUUUAAGUCCGUUGUGAAAGCCCUGGGCUCAACCUGGGAAUUGCAGUGGAUACUGGGUCACUAGAGUGUGGUAGAGGAUAGUGGAAUUUCCGGUGUAGCAGUGAAAUGCGUAGAGAUUGGAAGGAACAUCUGUGGCGAAGGCGACUAUCUGGGCCAACACUGACACUGAGGCACGAAAGCGUGGGGAGCAAACAGGAUUAGAUACCCCUGUAGUCCCUGUCUCUUAUAC